rnacentral:rRNA from 1 species
GUGAAAUUGUUGAGAGGGAAGCGCUUACAACCAGACUUGCGCGCGGCAGUUCUCCCUUCCUUUUGGUUGGGCUACUCCGUCGUGUCCAGGCCAACAUCGGUUCUGGGGGUCGGUUAAAGGCCCUGGGAAUGUAUCUACCCUUCGGACGUAGACUUAUAGCCCAGGGUGUCAUGCGGCCUCCCGGAACCGAGGAACGCGCUUCGGCUCGGAUGUUGGCGUAAUGGUUGUCAGCGACCCGUCUUGAAACACGG